rnacentral:rRNA from 1 species
GAUGAACGCUGGCGGCGUGCCUAAUACAUGCAAGUCGAGCGAACGGACGAGAAGCUUGCUUCUCUGAUGUUAGCGGCGGACGGGUGAGUAACACGUGGAUAACCUACCUAUAAGACUGGGAUAACUUCGGGAAACCGGAGCUAAUACCGGAUAAUAUUUUGAACCGCAUGGUUCAAAAGUGAAAGACGGUCUUGCUGUCACUUAUAGAUGGAUCCGCGCUGCAUUAGCUAGUUGGUAAGGUAACGGCUUACCAAGGCAACGAUGCCUAGCCGACCUGAGAGGGUGAUCGGCCACAUUGGAACGGAGACACGGUCCAGAGUCCUACGGGAGGCAGCAGUAGGGAAUGUUCCGCAAUGGGCGAAAGCCUGACGGAGCAACGGCGCGUGAGUGAUGAAGGUCUUCGGAGCGGAAAACUCUGUUAUUAGGGAAGAACAUAUGUGUAAGUAACUGUGCACAUCUUGACGGUACCUAAUCAGAAAGCCACGGCUAACUACGUG